UACGAAGGGGGCUAGCGUUGCUCGGAAUCACUGGGCGUAAAGCGCACGUAGGCGGAUUGCUAAGUCAGGGGUGAAAUCCUGGAGCUCAACUCCAGAACUGCCUUUGAUACUGGCGAUCUCGAGUCCGGGAGAGGUGAGUGGAACUGCGAGUGUAGAGGUGAAAUUCGUAGAUAUCGGGAAGAACAUCGGUGGCGAAGGCGCUCUACUGGACCACAACUGACACUCAGGGACGAAAGCUAGGGGAGCGAAUGGG
rnacentral:rRNA from 1 species